UACGUAGGGUGCAAGCGUUAAUCGGAAUUACUGGGCGUAAAGCGUGCGCAGGCGGUUCGCUAAGACAGAUGUGAAAUCCCCGGGCUUAACCUGGGAACUGCAUUUGUGACUGGCGGGCUAGAGUAUGGCAGAGGGGGGUAGAAUUCCACGUGUAGCAGUGAAGUGCGUAGAGAUGUGGAGGAAUACCGAUGGCGAAGGCAGCCCCCUGGGCCAAUACUGACGCUCAUGCACGAAAGCGUGGGGAGCAAACAGG
rnacentral:rRNA from 1 species